UACGGAGGGGGCUAGCGUUGUUCGGAAUUACUGGGCGUAAAGCGCACGUAGGCGGCUUUGUAAGUUAGAGGUGAAAGCCCAGGGCUCAACCCUGGAAUUGCCUUUAAGACUGCAUCGCUUGAAUUGUGGAGAGGUAAGUGGAAUUCCGAGUGUAGAGGUGAAAUUCGUAGAUAUUCGGAAGAACACCAGUGGCGAAGGCGACUUACUGGACACAUAUUGACACUGAGGCUCGAAAGUGCGGGGAUCAAACAGG
rnacentral:rRNA from 1 species